AGGACUAACGCUGGCGGCGUGCCUAACACAUGCAAGUCGAACGAGGGGUAGCAAUACCCCUAGUGGCAGACGGGUGAGUAACACGUAGUCAACCUACCUCUUAAUGGGGGAUAACUAGCCGAAAGGUUAGCUAAUACCGCAUACGAUCGUCGAGUGGCAUCACACGACGAUGAAAGGAGCAAUCCGUUGAGAGAGGGGACUGCGUCCCAUUAGUUAGUUGGUGGGGUAAUGGCCUACCAAGACUCCGAUGGGUAGCUGGCUUGAGAGAGCGACCAGCCACACUGGAACUGAGACACGGUCCAGACUCCUACGGGAAGGCAGCAGUGAGGAAUUUUCCGCAAUGGGCGAAAGCCUGACGGAGCGACGCCGCGUGCACGAGGAAGGCCUUCGGGUCGUAAACUCCUUUCGAUCGGGAAGAUAAUGACGGUACCGGAAGAAGAAGCCCCGGCUAACUUCGUGCCAGCAGCCGC
rnacentral:rRNA from 1 species